rnacentral:tRNA from 1 species
GUGAUGACUCAGUUGCAUAGAACCUGCUUGGCAUGCAGAAGAUCCCAGGUUCAAUCCCUGGCCUCUCCA